UCUGAAAAUGUGUUCUGGAGCAG
rnacentral:piRNA from 1 species